rnacentral:rRNA from 1 species
UACGGAGGGUGCGAGCGUUGUCCGGAAUCAUUGGGCGUAAAGGGCGCGUAGGUGGCCCGGUCAGUCUUUGGUGAAAGCGCGGGGCUCAACCCUGCGUCGGCCAGGGAUACUGCCGCGGCUCGAGCACUGUAGAGGCAGGCGGAAUUCCGGGUGGAGUGGUGAAAUGCGUAGAGAUCCGGAGGAACACCAGAGGCGAAGGCGGCCUACUGGGCCAGUACUGACGCUGAGUCGCGAAAGCCAGGGGAGCGAACGGG